UGUUCAGUACUACCCUCAGAAGCCGCUUGUCAUUACACGAGCCAUGGAGCAUCUUCACUUCAGGCAACUUCCAGCUGGAAUUGGUUUGUGACAUGGUUCUUAUGAUAAAUUGGAUGAUGAUGGUCUUGCACCUCCUGGUGAGGAUGUUAUCAUAAGGAAGACCACUCUCAUUGCUCCUAAGGAGGCUCAGCAGCAAGCUUCUUCGUGUUACUCACGACGUGACCAUUGUAUAAGCUUAUGGCAUAGUGAAACCGGGAUUAUGGACCAGG